GGAAGUUCGACGGGCCCCGCACAAGCAGCGGAGCGUGUGGUUUAAUUCGAUGCUACACGAAAGAACCUUACCAGGGUUUGACAUACAAGUAGUAGGGAAGGAAACUGGACCGACCCUUCGGGGAGCUUGUACAGGUGCUGCAUGGCUGUCGUCAGCUCGUGUCGUGAGAUGUUCGGUUAAGUCCGCUAACGAGCGCAACCCUCGCUGUGUGUUACAAGUGUCACACGGAACUGCCGGUCAUAAACCGGAGGAAGGUGGGGAUAACGUCAAGUCAGCAUGGCCUUUAUAUCCUGGGCUACACACACGCUACAAUGGGAAGGGACAAUAGGUUGCGAAGCCGCGAGGCGGAGCCAAUCCAGCAAAACUUCCCUCAGUUCAGAUCGCAGGCUGCAACCCGCCUGCAUGAAGUUGGAGUUGCUAGUAAACGCAGGUCAGCCAUACUGCGUUGAAUACGUUCCCGGGGCUU
rnacentral:rRNA from 1 species